AGCAGCGUAGCUGAACAUCUUACGGAUGGCCCAGGGCUCCAAAGGCUCGUUUCCUAAGUGAGAGAGAGCCUGGCUGAAGCUGUAUUACCAUUCAUUCUCCAGCCUCCGAAGUCUCAAAGCAUCACUUCCACCAUACUCUAACUGUCAAGACAAACACAAAGGCCCAGAAAGAAGAAUACACUAUCGAUGUUCCUUUUAAACAAGUAUUUGAGUAAAAGCGAUGUUUCCAAUGUGUGUCAGAAAGUGAAUACUUGUAUAUUUCCGCACGGUUAGAGCUGAGCUUUCCGAGCAAAUUUUACUGGGACCCGGUUGAAAGACAGGUCUUGGAAGUGAAAUGAUGACUGACUAGAUGACAUUACAUGUAAAUGGAAUCAUACAAUAUGUGAUCUUUUGUGACUGGCUUCUUUCACUUAGCAUAACGUUUUCAAGAAACUGCCAGACUGUCUUCUGAAGUGGCUAUAAUAUUUACACUCCCAUCAGCAGUGUAGAAGGGGUCUCACUAUGUUGUCUGGAGUGCUGUGGUGGAGUGGAGUGGCUAUUCACAGGAUUCUUGGAAUGGACUGUAAAAGUCUGGAAUCAAGACUUUGUGUUUCCUCUCUAACAUGUAAAGAGCUUAGAAGUUGUCGCUAUUGCCCUUACAACAAAAUGAAGCUGGACAAACUGAAAAUCAAUGACUUUUCUUGGACUCACUAUACAGCUGAGUUUGCAGAGUAAACCACUACCCUGAAAUCUGGAAAGGCAGGUGCACCCACAGAUCCUCAGCUGAGAUCCAAUUACCUGAAAUAGAAGCUGCCAUUAGGAACACUUAAAAG
rnacentral:lncRNA from 1 species